rnacentral:rRNA from 1 species
GACAUACAAGUAGUAGGAAGGAAACUGGACGACCUUCGGGGAGCUUGUACAGGUGCUGCAUGGCUGUCGUCAGCUCGUGUCGUGAGAUGUUCGGUUAAGUCCGCUAACGAGCGCAACCCUCGCUGUGUGUUACAAGUGUCACACGGAACUGCCGGUCAUAAACCGGAGGAAGGUGGGGAUGACGUCAAGUCAGCAUGGCCUUUAUAUCCUGGGCUACACACACGCUACAAUGGGAAGGGACAAUAGGUUGCGAAGCCGCGAGGCGGAGCCAAUCCAGCAAAACUUCCCUCAGUUCAGAUUGCAGGCUGCAACUCGCCUGCAUGAAGUUGGAGUUGCUAGUAAACGCAGGUCAGCCAUACUGCGUUGAAUACGUUCCCGGGGCUU